rnacentral:rRNA from 1 species
UACGAACCGUGCAAACGUUGUUCGGAUUCACUGGGCUUAAAGGGCGCGUAGGCGGCUUGCCAAGUCAGUGGUGAAAUCUUUCGGCUCAACCGGAAAAUGGCUGCUGAUACUGGCGGGCUGGAGGGAGGUAGAGGCAGGUGGAAUUCCCGGUGUAGCGGUGGAAUGCGUAGAGAUCGGGAAGAACAUCGGUGGCGAAGGCGGCCUGCUGGGCUCUUGCUGACACUGAGGAGCGAAAGCGUGGGGAGCAAACAGG